UAGGGAAUCUUCGGCAAUGGACGAAAGUCUGACCGAGCAACGCCGCGUGAGUGAAGAAGGUUUUCGGAUCGUAAAACUCUGUUGUUAGAGAAGAACAAGGACGUUAGUAACUGAACGUCCCCUGACGGUAUCUGACCAGAAAGCCACGGCUAACUACGUGCCAGCAGCCGCGGUAAUACGUAGGUGGCAAGCGUUGUCCGGAUUUAUUGGGCGUAAAGCGAGCGCAGGCGGUUUCUUAAGUCUGAUGUGAAAGCCCCCGGCUCAACCGGGGAGGGUCAUUGGAAACUGGGAGACUUGAGUGCAGAAGAGGAGAGUGGAAUUCCAUGUGUAGCGGUGAAAUGCGUAGAUAUAUGGAGGAACACCAGUGGCGAAGGCGGCUCUCUGGUCUGUAACUGACGCUGAGGCUCGAAAGCGUGGGGAGCAAACAGG
rnacentral:rRNA from 2 species